UACAAAGUGGAGUAGAAGUUCUUCCCGUUGCAGAACUGGUGCUGGAACCAUCAGCGCGUGACUGAAUCAGAGUCGCGGCAGCUCUCGCUACAGCAACCGCGGAACUAACAUCGCAUAGGUUGCCGAGACUAGAGGGUCACGCCACAUAAGUUGGAGCAGAUUCCUAUUGGCUAUUACGUGGAUUGGUGAUAAGAAGCACAACAGAGGUUAAAAGCGGCCAGAAAAAAUAUAGAAUAUGCUCAUCGAUAGCAUGGAUUCGUUUGGAAAAUCUUGUCAAAGAUGCGUUAAGUUCACCGGAAAAUCUGCUCAGUACAAACACAGUAAGUUAUUAAUAUUUGAUUUUAUUUCUUGUUUCAUGAAUGACCAUUUUU